rnacentral:rRNA from 1 species
GUGAGGUAUCGGCUCACCAAGGCGACGACGGGUAGCCGGCCUGAGAGGGCGACCGGCCACACUGGGACUGAGACACGGCCCAGACUCCUACGGGAGGCAGCAGUGGGGAAUAUUGCGCAAUGGGCGAAAGCCUGACGCAGCAACGCCGCGUGCGGGAUGAAGGCCUUCGGGUUGUAAACCGCUUUCAGCAGGGAAGAAGCGAAAGUGACGGUACCUGCAGAAGAAGCACCGGCUAACUACGUGCCAGCAGCCGCGGUAAUACGUAGGGUGCAAGCGUUGUCCGGAUUUAUUGGGCGUAAAGAGCUCGUAGGCGGUUAGUCACGUCGGAUGUGAAAUCCCAGUGCUUAACACUGGGCCUGCAUUCGAUACGGGCUGACUAGAGUGUUGUAGGGGAGACUGGAAUUCCUGGUGUAGCGGUGAAAUGCGCAGAUAUCAGGAAGAACACCGGUGGCGAAGGCGGGUCUCUGGGCAACUACUGACGCUGAGGAGCGAAAGCGUGGGGAGCGAACAGGAUUAGAUACCCUGGUAGUCCACGCCGUAAACGGUGGGCGCUAGGUGUGGGGAACAUUCCACGUUCUCCGUGCCGCAGCUAAUGCAUUAAGCG